GGACUACACGGGUUUCUAAUCCCGUUUGCUCCCCUGGCUUUCGCGCCUCAGCGUCAGAAGAGGUCCAGCAGACCGCUUUCGCCACCGGCGUUCCUUCCGAUAUCUACGCAUUUCACCGCUCCACCGGAAGUUCCGUCUGCCCCUACCUCCCUCCAGCCCGCCAGUAUCAGAAGCACUUUUCCGGUUAAGCCGAAAGAUUUCACCCCUGACUUGGCAAGCCGCCUACGCGCCCUUUAAGCCCAGUGAAUCCGAACAACGUUCGCACGGUUCGUCUUACCGCGGCUGCUGGCAC
rnacentral:rRNA from 1 species